rnacentral:lncRNA from 1 species
GAUAUAUUUCAAAACUUUAAACACUCUACUACAAUAAUAUCUUAUAAUAUUUUUUACUAUUUUAUAUCUAUAUGUAAAGAAUCCUUUUACAAUAAACAGACUGUUUUUUAUCUCAAGAUUUUCAAUUUGUAAUUUUAGAUGACUUUGUAAUUUUCAAAUGGAUUGCCAACAUACACAAUUCAAAUAGUAAUUGAAAUGCAUUUUUCUUGCUUUUCCAAAAACUCUAUGAAGUUGGAAAAAAUUAAGCUUGGUUUAAUAAUGCCGUCAUGGGGUAGUGGAAGCUUCCAAUUGAUUAUUGAGGUCAAAAGUAAAGGUCACAAGUUUCUGGUUAAUACUUUUGGAAUCAUGUCCAAUGUUUAACAAAUUUGAUUUAUUUUUAAAUGCUUUAUUGGACUGAGAAGAUGUGAAGAUUAGAAUUUGCAUAGCUCUUACAAUAUAUUUGUAUUUAUACAGAGAAAAUAAGAAAUGUUUUCAUUUUUAUCAGUUUAUUCAGAUCUGAGUUGAUUUAAAUUAU